AGAUUCAUGCUAGAUCCACCCAUGAUACUCGUAUAGAAAUUCAAAACGCAGAAAAUGACCAAGGCAAUCGCAGGUACAUACGUCCAGUGCUGCAAAGACUUGUCUCAAAUCUCCUUGUGAUGUUGGGAAUUAACCGCAACCACAUAUACAAAAUGAAAUUGGCACAUGCCCAAUCCCUAGAAAUUCUAGAUUGCAUGUGCAGAGAGAUAAGAAAAUUGGACAGGGAGCAACAGGAAGAUGGCUUUGUAAGUUCAGCACUCUUCGCAGCUGUCAGUGAAGUGAAUGUUGAGUUUGUUACUCGUAUAUGUAAAGCAAAUCCAGAACUCUUCGAGAGCAAAAACGAAAUGGGAAGAAACAUAUUUCAUUUUGCUAUUGAAUGUCGUCAAGAAAAAAUUUAUAGUCUUAUACAUGGGCUCAAUGUGAAACAUGCAAUUGUAAAUCUUGUAGAUCCGCAUGACAAUAACAUGUUACAUAUGGCUGCGAUUGUUGUCCCCAUCCACGCAGCUGAAUCAUAUCGCAGGUGCAGCUUUGCAAAUGCAGAGAGAACUACAAUGGUUUAAGGCCAGAAUUUCUUCCUCGAUCUUGAUUGCUUGGUUCUCGGAAUGAAAGUUUUAAGGAGAUGGAGACUAUUGUACCUCCCCAAGCUGCUAGAAUUAUGAACAAGACUGAUCUUAUGAAACCACGUGACCUCUUUACUCAGUGCCACAGAGAAUUGAUGAAGGAGGGUGAAAAACUGGAUGAAACAGACAGCAAGUUCUUUCACAGUUAUAGGUGCUCUCAUUAUUACCAUGAUGUUUGCUGCAGCGUUCACAGUACCUGGAGGAAACAAUGGAGAUACGGGUUUUCCCAUAUUCUUAAAUGAAAAGUUAUUUAUGUUGUUCAUCAUUUCUGAUGCUUUAUCACUAUUUUCUUCCACAACUUCAACAUUGAUGUUUCUGGGAAUCCUCACACCACGUUACGCUGAAGAUGAUUUUCUUAAAUCCUUGCCCACAAAGAUGAUAAUAGGCCUUUCCACUCUUUUUUUCUCUAUUGCAACCAUGAUGAUAGCCUUUUGUGCUAGCCUUCUCAUCAUGCUUCAAGGAAAAUCGUGGACUGUCAUUCCAAUCAUUUUUCUUGCUAGUGUUCCUGUUAGCAUAUUUGCUUUGAUGCAGUUUCCCUUCCUUGUAUUGAUAUUUUCAAAUCUACUUAUGGA